rnacentral:rRNA from 1 species
CGAAGGGGGCUAGCGUUGUUCGGAAUUACUGGGCGUAAAGCGAACGUAGGCGGUGUUCCAUGUCAGAGGUGGAAGCCUGGGGCUCAACUCCAGAAUUGCCUUUGAAACGGGAACGCUUGAGUCCGAGAGAGGGUGGCGGAAUUCCUAGUGUAGAGGUGAGAUUCGUAGAUAUUAGGAAGAACACCAGUGGCGAAGGCGGCCACCUGGCUCGGUACUGACGCUCAGGUUCGAAAGCGUGGGGAGCAAACAGGAUUAGAUACCCUGGUAGUCCACGCCGUAAACGAUGAGUGCUAGUUGUUGGGAAGUUUACUUCUCAGUGACGCAGCUAACGCGAUAAGCACUCCGCCUGGGGAGUACGGCCGCAAGGUUA